AGUGAACGCUGGCGGUAGGCCUAACACAUGCAAGUCGAACGGCAGCACAGGAGAGCUUGCUCUCUAGGUGGCGAGUGGCGGACGGGUGAGGAAUACAUCGGAAUCUGCCCAGUCGUGGGGGAUAACGUAGGGAAACUUACGCUAAUACCGCAUACGACCUUCUGGUGAAAGAGGGGGAUCGCAAGACCUCUCGCGAUUGGAUGAGCCGAUGUCGGAUUAGCUAGUUAGCGGGGUAAUGGCCCACCAAGGCGACGAUCCGUAGCUGGUCUGAGAGGAUGAUCAGCCACACUGGAACUGAGACACGGUCCAGACUCCUACGGGAGGCAGCAGUGGGGAAUAUUGGGCAAUGGGCGCGAGCCUGAUCCAGCCAUACCGCGUAGGUGAAGAAGGCCUUCCGGUUGUAAAGCCCUUUUGUUGGGAAAGAAAUCUUUCAGGCUAAUACCCUGGGAGGAUGACGGUACCCAAAGAAUAAGCACCGGCUAACUUCGUG
rnacentral:rRNA from 1 species